GACGAACGCUGGCGGCGCGCCUAACACAUGCAAGUCGAACGGGGUGCGUUCGAAUGAAGUUUUCGGAUGGAAUUUGGAUGUACCUAGUGGCGAACGGGUGAGUAACACGUGAAUAACCUGCCCUGGAGUGGGGGACAACAGUUGGAAACGACUGCUAAUACCGCAUAAGCCCACAGAGCCGCAUGGCUCAGGGGGAAAAGGAGCAAUUCGCUUCAGGAUGGAUUCGCGUCCAAUUAGCUGGAUGGUGAGGUAACGGCCCACCAUGGCAACGAUUGGUAGCCGGACUGAGAGGUUGAUCGGCCACAUUGGGACUGAGACACGGCCCAGACUCCUACGGGAGGCAGCAGUGGGGAAUAUUGCACAAUGGGGGAAACCCUGAUGCAGCGACGCCGCGUGAGUGAAGAAGUAUUUCGGUAUGUAAAGCUCUAUCAGCAGGGAAGAAAAUGACGGUACCUGACUAAGAAGCCCCGGNUAACUACGUG
rnacentral:rRNA from 1 species